CUGGGCUCAGAUGAUCCUCCCACCUCAGCCUUCAAAGUAGCUGGGACUACAGUCCAAAUACGGGAUGAUAAAGAAAUCAGAAAAAUCAACAUUUUACAACUCCCAUUGAAAUGACUGAUUCAGGCAAGAAUCAUUCAUGGAUACUGAAACAAUGAUGCAAAAAGUUAUUGGGGCAAAAGCACGAAUCCCCCUGGUGCCAAGUGUCUCCCGCUGGAUCACUUGCUGAUUGCAAAGUGAAAACACACCUUUACAUCUCAGUGGGGAGAUGUGGCUAGCUUUGCUUUAGCGGAGGGGUCAAAUCAAGCUUAGUUAAUGGGUGAGACAACCUAACAUUUCGUUUCCCCUGAUGUGAUGCAAUUUGAAGUUCACACAGCAUGACCUAUAAAGCAUUCCAGCUAAAAACGUCAAAGCUCUGUGCUCAUCAUUCUCCAUUUGCUCUUAUAAAUCCAUUCCGAACCUUUCACCAUCCAGCCCUGCACCACUGGAGACUCUCCUCUGCAGACUCUAUUGCCCAGGUUCCUUUGCUUUUUGGCUUUGGUUAGAUUUGGUCAAUGCAGGGGCUGCAGCAGCCAUUUUGAAGGUAGAGGAGAGAGAUGUUGUGGUAUUUGUUCCCCACCACCCCACUCCCUGCCCUGGUGCAAUUUUGGCGGUGACCGUGUUGCUGCGAUAUCCAUGGCUCCUGGUAGGGACCCAGCUCCAGCUCCUGCAGAGCUUCAGUAACUGCACUCAGCUCAGGCUGCUGCAGACCUAGGGGCAGCAGUCCCAGAGUGCCUCACCAUCCCUUGUUCCCUGUGCCUGCUCACACAUCUGUAAAUAGUCCCUUCAUGUCACAUCCUUCAGUUAGACCCUUUGAUUAUGUUAUCUGCUUCCAGUCAGGACCAUGAUUGAUUCUGUCUGAAUCUAAUCCGUCCUUUAUUUGAACAGGACAUCAAGUCUGGAAAAACAAGUUAACACCUUGAGAUAACAAUCAGACAAAUCCAGAAUUUGGGACCAUUUACUAGUCUGUUACUUUCAAAGAUCAAUGUUAUUUAAAAAAAAAAAAAAUAGAAGAACUCUUGCAGAUUAAACUAAAGAGGUGUAACUAUCAAAUGCAAUAUAUAAAUCUGGUUUGCAAA